AGAGUUUGAUCCUGGCUCAGGAUGAACGCUGGCGGCAUGCCUAAUACAUGCAAGUCGAACGAGAGGAAGGAAAGCUUGCUUUUCUGAAUCUAGUGGCGAACGGGUGAGUAACACGUAGGUAACCUGCCCAUGUGCCCGGGAUAACUUCUGGAAACGGAUGCUAAAACCGGAUAGGUAGCAGACAAGCAUUUGACUGCUAUUAAAGUGGCCUUGGCCAUGAACAUGGAUGGACCUGCGGUGCAUUAGCUAGUUGGUGAGGUAACGGCCCACCAAGGCGACGAUGCAUAGCCGGCCUGAGAGGGCGGACGGCCACAUUGGGACUGAGACACGGCCCAAACUCCUACGGGAGGCAGCAGUAGGGAAUUUUCGUCAAUGGGGGGAACCCUGAACGAGCAAUGCCGCGUGAGUGAGGAAGGUCUUCGGAUCGUAAAGCUCUGUUGUAAGAGAAAAACGGCACUCAUAGGGAAUGAUGAGUGAGUGAUGGUAUCUUACCAGAAAGUCACGGCUAACUACGUGCCAGCAGCCGCGGUAAUACGUAGGUGGCGAGCGUUAUCCGGAAUGAUUGGGCGUAAAGGGUGCGUAGGUGGCAGAUCAAGUCUGGAGUAAAAGGUAUGGGCUCAACCCGUACUGGCUCUGGAAACUGAUCAGCUAGAGAACAGAAGAGGACGGCGGAACUCCAUGUGUAGCGGUAAAAUGCGUAGAUAUAUGGAAGAACACCGGUGGCGAAGGCGGCCGUCUGGUCUGGAUUCUGACACUGAAGCACGAAAGCGUGGGGAGCAAAUAGGAUUAGAUACCCUAGUAGUCCACGCCGUAAACGAUGAGAACUAGGUGUUGGGGGAAUAACUCAGUGCCGCAGUUAACGCAGUAAGUUCUCCGCCUGGGGAGUAUGCACGCAAGUGUGAAACUCAAAGGAAUUGACGGGGGCCCGCACAAGCGGUGGAGUAUGUGGUUUAAUUCGACGCAACGCGAAGAACCUUACCAAGGCUUGACAUUGAUUGAACGCUCUAGAGAUAGAGAUUUCCCUUCGGGGACAAGAAAACAGGUGGUGCAUGGCUGUCGUCAGCUCGUGUCGUGAGAUGUUGGGUUAAGUCCC
rnacentral:rRNA from 1 species